GACUCCACAGGGGGGACGUUGGACGACUCCUGCCUAGCAUUUAAAAUUUGUUGUGCAUAUUACGUAUUAUUCCCUUUGUCUUGCUUCGAACAAACUAGUUCAAGGUCAUUCAAGUGCACCUAAUUUUCCAUAAUAAGAGUGUAUUUAAUUUUCCAAUGCCCUAAGGUACGAUUUAGUUGGGAGGGCGGACCAGAUUACAACGCUCUCAUAUCAAAAUGCAAUGCCACAAGAAAAAAAAACUGUUCAGUUUGACGUGUUACGAACAUUCAGCUCACCGUGGAUUGAAUUAAAAACUUCAUUUAGUCAAUCUCAACCAAGAUGUUCAAUAGGCUGGAUGAAAUUUAGGGAAUUAUCAUAAUGUGCAGUUGAUGGUAAGCCACGAGCUGGCUUAGGUUAGGAACGUGAUUUGACUCGGCAGGGAUUCCGCAAAGCGCUCAGCUUCACGCGACGGCCUUCAGUGAAACGCUCUACGAACAUCCAUUGAAAAACCUGCCUGGCUCGAUCUGGGUCAAAAACGAUUAGAAAACUUCAUGGAUUUCACAAGAAAACUGAACACACAGCUUCGAAGGACAACUCAAUUUACUCAACAAAUCCAAGCUGGAGGUUACUACAAGAGAAAAAGACUAAAGAGUCCCCAGCUAUCCCAUCAUUCCUUGCUUGUGAGGUACUUGUCAUAGAGCUAGGAGACUUCUACCAAAGAAAAAAAGGCUAGAGACCCCAGCUAUCCCAUCAUUCCUUGUUUGUGAGGUACUUGUCAUGGAGCUAGGAGACUUCUACCAGAGAAAUAAAGACCGACUAAAGAGUCCCCAGCUAUCCAUUCAUUCCUUGUUGGUGAGGUACUUGUCAUGGAGACUUAUACCAGAGAAAUAAAGACUAAAAAGUCCCCAGCUAUCCCAUCAUUCCUUGCUGGUGAGGUACUUACGUCGUGUCCUGCCGGUGGCUGCCAUUUACACAAAACAGAUCUCUUUACUCCGAUAUCCACACCUGCCUGUAACGGUGCAAUACUGAAUUUAGUCUACACAAACCAUACUAAUGGACUAUUAAGAACUCUGCGUUCUGAUUGGCUGGAUCUUUUAGUAAUACCGUUUUCUCAAGGUUGCGUGCGCUUCCUAUCUUGACAGGACACAAAACCGUAAAAGGGAAAUUCAGUCAAAUUGAGAAGCCAAAUCUAAAGGGGAGAAUUCUUAUCGAAAAAUCUCAUAGAAAUGUAUAAUAAUUCUCAUUACAAGGCUCCGGCUCUGGUAUCGUGGCCCGUCAACUUUCUUAAAUUUGGAUGCGCACGCAACCUUGAGAAAACGGUCUAUAACUGGCAUUCCAAAGUAUUCAGCAUGGCACGGUUUGGAGGAUGUCACGCAUGGCAGAAAUGAAGAACUCAAGCAUCACAUGGGAAGAGGCAAAGAAAACAGCAGAGAACAGAGUGAGGUGGAGGACAAUAGACCAUUUCACGGAUCCCGUUACUCAACCUCAGCCUCGUCAUCGUGUAAUAUAUUCUUUAGAAAUUGCCUACAACCUGUCGAAUUUUCAAGUGUUUCAAUUGUUCGUUGAUGUGUAAAUUCCUUUCAUUACUGCGGACUGUAGUCAAAUUCUAAAGAAUAAUUACACGCUGACGAGGCUGAGGUUCAGUAACGGGAUCCGUGAAAUGGUCUAUAGGCCUUGUCUGCGUUGAUUAAACAGAAUGCAUUGUGGUCUAGCUUCGGUACAAGCAACACCAUAUAAGGCAAGAUAAACAAAAGAUGUUUGUACCGAAGCUAGACCAUCAAUGAAGCAUGUUCGCUAUCUCAGAAAAGGUCUACGAUGAAGGGCCUAUCGAACAGGACUAGCUGAUGGAACUGCUCGGCGCCUCUGUGUUCGGCGCUUCCAAGGCGCCUUCAUUACCUUCGGGGAGUGGGAUGGGGGAAAGAAAGCUUACCUUCAUGGGAUCAAACGUAAAUCCUUUUUCGUUCGCUUCUUUUGGAUUCUCGAAAUAGAAAUCUGAUGACUUGUAAAGGUUGAAAUGAGAAGAAUAAGAAACGAUUUAAUGAAGUUAUA